UACGUAGGGGGCAAGCGUUGUCCGGAAUUAUUGGGCGUAAAGCGCGCGCAGGCGUCAUUUAAGUCUUAUGUUUAAACCCGGGGCUCAACCUCGGGUCGCAUGGGAAACUGGGUGGCUUGAGUGUGGGAGAGGAAAGUGGAAUUCCACGUGUAGCGGUGAAAUGCGUAGAGAUGUGGAGGAACACCAGUGGCGAAGGCGACUUUCUGGCCUAUAACUGACGCUGAGGCGCGAAAGCGUGGGGAGCAAACAGG
rnacentral:rRNA from 1 species